CCUCCAUCACAGGUUCACUCCAUUACAUCAAAUACAGUGUGAACAACAGAGACGUUCAAAGAUGUUCCGAAUUCUUUAAAGAUGCGUCUUUUCGUCUUGAUGUUGGCCGUCACCUGCCUGUUAGAUGUCAGUCUCGGCAGCCCGAUCCAUCUCAUUGGCAGUAGACAAUAUCGGGGACCUCAUUAUUUAUAUUAUAAUAAGUAUUAUCGCCGCCAUCAUCAUCCCCGGUAUUAUUAUUUCACACCUUGGCAGCCAGGGCACCGCUUCGUUCGGCGCCGACGGAUUGGCCGCCCGAGACCCUAUGUCUUCGAUGACUUCCUCGGAGGCUGAUGACGGAGGCGGGGGCGGUGGGGCGAGUCCAACGCCUUUGCUUCACAUGUGGUUGUUGUUGUUGUUGUGAUUGUUGAUGUUUUAGUUUUGGGUUUUGUAAUUGUUUGUUAUUUGGUUAUCUGAUUAACUUAUUGCAUUUUAAUUUAUUUAUAUGAGUGAUUUAUCUGUUUACAACAAUGUCUCUUUUGGGUAUUUCGUUUAUCCCUCUGUUUAUCAUCUAGUCUAAUCUAUUAUUCUGUAUAUUCAGGUAUUUUAUUAUUUUUAUACUAACUGAAUCAUAAAGUUAUACGUUACCAUGUGUAUAUAUAUUUAUAUCGUUCAAGACCAUAUUCAUUACUGGACAUGCAUUUCAUCACUUUAUUUCAGUCUUCAUAUUAAAGACUUUAAUGUA